rnacentral:rRNA from 3 species
UUAAAUUGAAGAGUUUGAUCAUGGCUCAGAUUGAACGCUGGCGGCAGGCCUAACACAUGCAAGUCGAACGGUAACAGAAAGCA